GCAACGCCGCGUGCGGGAUGACGGCCUUCGGGUUGUAAACCGCUUUCACCCAUGACGAAGCGCGAGUGACGGUAGUGGGGGAAGAAGCACCGGCCAACUACGUGCCAGCAGCCGCGGUGAUACGUAGGGUGCGAGCGUUGUCCGGAAUUAUUGGGCGUAAAGAGCUUGUAGGCGGUUGAUCGCGUCGAUAGUGAAAUCCCGGGGCUCAACCUCGGGCUUGCUGUCGAUACGGGUUGACUUGAGGAAGGUAGGGGAGAAUGGAACUCCCGGUGGAGCGGUGGAAUGCGCAGAUAUCGGGAAGAACACCGGUGGCGAAGGCGGUUCUCUGGACCUUUCCUGACGCUGAGAAGCGAAAGCGUGGGGAGCAAACAGGCUUAGAUACCCUGGUAGUCCACGCUGUAAACGGUGGGUACUAGGUGUGGGUCGCAUUCCACGUGAUCCGUGCCGUAGCCAACGCAUUAAGUACCCCGCCUGGGGAGUACGGCCGCAAGGCUAAAACUCAAAGGAAUUGACGGGGCCCCGCACAAGCGGCGGAGCAUGCGGAUUAAUUCGAUGCAACGCGAAGAACCUUACCUGGGUUUGACAUGUACUGGAAGCGCUCAGAGAUGGGCGUGCCUUUUCGGCCGGUUCACAGGUGGUGCAUGG
rnacentral:rRNA from 1 species